CCCGUGCCUGGCCCCGCCGGGUCGCUCCCGAGCUCCGCGUUUCGUUCGCCGACCCCUGGAAGACUGCCUGGAGGCCCGGGCGCCACCCAACCACUGGCUAGGCCGACACUUUGCGCGGACCCUGGGUGUAAAAGGUCCCCGGGUCUCUGGUCCCGACGGAGCUGUGAGGGAGAUCAACCACGCCCCCUCCGUGGGCACCGUGGCGGCAGGGAAGGAAAAGGGCUCUGGGUCUCGACUCUCUUCGGGUUAAGAACCGACGGGGUUUAUUCUAUGCAAGGUGUUAUUAACUCCAACUCUCCCUUUCGUUCAUUCAUUCCAUAUAUGUUGAACGACAACUUAGUGCCAAAUGCCGGCAUGCUGAAACUCAGAGAGGGAAGAUGUCUUGCAAGUACAGCAGCCACACCCAGAGUUUCGCUCUUGUUCCCUGGGCUGCAGUGCAGUGGCACCAUCUCGGCUCACCGCAACCUCCGCCUCCCAAGUUCAAGCGAUUCUCCUGCCUCAGCCUCCCCAGUAUCUGGGAUUACAGUAAAAUUAAAACAGGCACAAUGAUAUCCUGGAUGACAAGAGCUGGAGGCUGUCAUUCUAACAAUGUAGUGAGACUGGCUGUCUUGUCUCAUGCCCACCCCUGGAAACAUGCGCAGGAACUCAAAGCACCUAGCACAGAGGAAGUGUCUGGUUGUUUUAAAGGAAAAACAAAACCAAAAAAAGCACCUCCUGCUCUGACCACCCCUAUUUCCAGUUUUCCCUUUUGGCACAGCAAAGAUGACCUUGGGACUGAGGUGGAACCAUGUAAUUCUUCGUAAUCCCAGAGUCAGGCAGACCUGGGAGAUAACAUCCAUCUCGAAGGAAGAUCUGGCCUGAAGAGCAGUCACUCUUGCCUGGCAUGCAGAGAAUGCCAAAUCAUAUUAAUGACUGGCCAGAAUGAAGUGCGUGACCUCAUCACUCCAUAACUGACAGGAAACAACUGCUAGGGCAAGAAAAAAGGGUCUCCAGUGAGUAUUCUUGUCCACACACAUCCCCACUCACGUUCCUGGACCACUGCAUCUAACUGCCGCAGCAGCUAAUGAACCUUCUGGAAUAAAGGACCAGUUUCUUAAGAAGGGAUUGAGACCUCCAGUGGCCUCCCACAUUGUUUCCGGCAAGAAUUUAAAAAUUAUUUGUAACAUAUAGUAAUAAAAACUAACCACAGGCUGGGCGCAGUGGCUCACGCCUGUAAUCCCAGCACUUUGGGAGGCUGAGGCAGGUGGAUCACCUGAGGUCAGGAGUUCGAGACCAGCCUGACCAAUAUGGUGAAACCCUGUUUCUCCUAAAAAUACAAAAAUUAGCUGGGCAUGGUGGUGGGCGCCUGUAAUCUCAGCUACUCAGGAGGCUGAAACAGGAGAACUGCUUGAAUCUGGGAGGUAGAUGUUGCAGUGAGCCGAUAUCGCGCCAUUGCACUCCAGCCUGGGCAAUGACUCCGUCUCAAAAAAAAAAAAAAAAAAAAAAAACUAACCACAGCUACUAUUUAUGAACUCUAGUGCCACACCCCAUUUCUUCCCAGGUUUCACCCCCUCUUCCCAGGUUUCACCCACCCCAACCAGUGUUGUUUGCAACACUUCAGCUUCUCUCCUCACGAAGCACGUCUCCAGAGACGCCUCUUCCGCAACUUCCCAGGGAAGCCAUUUCUGCCUGGACCCACCACAGCUCCCAACCUGUCACGCACCCCUGGAGGGUUUUGCUCUGUAAUCCUGAUUUAGAAAUCCUCUUAUAUGAAACCACUGUAAUCCACAUCUGGUUAGACAAUUGGAAAAGUUCAUUGAAAGGAGAAAUAAUAAAAAUGGCAUCCAUCCCUUAAAUGUUGUAUGCCAACGUAAAACACAUUCGACAAUGACCCUGGGCUAAGGCUCUACCUUACAGAGAAACCUGUAUCGGUGUUCCCCUCCAUUUUCCUUACAUAAACCAACCAAAAAUCUUCAGUUGUUCCGUUCUCUGUCUCUCUCCCUCUCCACACCCACCUUCCCUCUUCCUCUCU
rnacentral:lncRNA from 1 species